CGUACAGGUUUCCGUAGGUGAACCUGCGGNAGGAUCAUUAAUGAAUUUUAGGACGUUCUUUUUAGAAGUCCGACCCUUUCAUUUUCUUACACUGUGCACACACUUCUUUUUUACACACACUUUUAACACCUUAGUAUAAGAACGUAAUAGUCUCUUAAUUGAGCAUAAAUAAAAACAAAACUUUCAGCAACGGAUCUCUUGGCUCUCGCAUCGAUGAAGAACGCAGCGAAUUGCGAUAAGUAAUGUGAAUUGCAGAAUUCAGUGAAUCAUCGAAUCUUUGAACGCACCUUGCACUCUUUGGUAUUCCGAAGAGUAUGUCUGUUUGAGUGUCAUGAAACUCUCAACCCCCCUAUUUUGUAAUGAGAUGGGUGUGGGCUUGGAUUAUGGUUGUCUGUCGGCGUAAUUGCCGGCUCAACUGAAAUACACGAGCAACCCUAUUGAAAUAAACGGUUUGACUUGGCGUAAUAAUUAUUUCGCUAAGGACGUUUUCUUCAAAUAUAAGAGGUGCUUCUAAUUCGCUUCUAAUAGCAUUUAAGCUUUAGACCUCAAAUCGGUCAGGACUACCCGCUGAACUUAAGCAUAUCA
rnacentral:rRNA from 1 species